rnacentral:lncRNA from 1 species
AUUCCAUCGUAUGGGUAGACCGUACAUUCUGUUUCACAUUCUGUUGAUGGACACGGGUUGUUUCUGCGAACUGUUGACACUAUGAUUGAUGAUUUUGUGAACCCGGGGGGCAAAUAUCCGUUAGGUUCUUGAUCUCAGCUCUUUGCCUUUGCACCUGGAAGUGGACAUUUAUUUUUUCAGAGAUGUUCAUCUUCUCUCAUUUCAGAGGGAACUCAGGUUCAUCGUUGAAUAACUAGACGAUGCAGUAGAAGAAAAUAAAAUUUACCCAGAAUGCUGAUAUGCAGGAUUGGUAAUUCACAUUUUUUUGUAGGGUGGCCUUUUGUGUGUGGUGCUUCUCCGUCCACACAGAAUUAUUCUGUACCUGUGUGGUCUUUGGUGGUAUGGGCUGGCUCCUCAUCUAAAAGUGGGAAAACCUUUGUCUAAGGCACUCGGACCGAGGGAGGAGGUGCCACCGGGUCUUUGUGAUCCAGCAGAAUGUGCACUCCUUCCAGGAGGAUCCUCAGGGGGCAGCACGUGUCCCCCGCCUGGGACUGCUGUGUCCUGCUCGGCCUGUUAUCUGCCCCCUCGCUGGACCGGCCGAGUCCCGGGAGGGCAGCCCAGCACAGCGCCUGGUGGUGCUCGAGGCUCAGUAGGGAAGUGACUGAAUGUGUGAGUGAGUGAAGUUAGCAGGCCUGCUGAUCGAGGCUCGUCGUGGUAGGGAGUGGCGAGGGCCCUCCCCAGCGGGACCCUUUUGCCUGCAUCCCGCCCCGGCCGUGCUGCACAGCACUGUCCCUCUUCUGUGUCCUCGCUGUCCCCCAGCCGUGGAGGCUCUCCCUCUUCACACGGCCCUGUUUACGCCCCCGGGAGGGCCACGCAUGUCCCCGCUCUGCCCAGACAGUUGCCGAGGGUCUCCUGUGUGUCACGCGCCAGGCUCGGGGCCGCGCUGUGGGGUCACCCAAAUGGGGCCUCUUUAGGGAGACACACUUGUACAAAAGGACAUGGUAAUUUCAGACAGUUAGACACGGGAUGAAGAAAAACAUCUUUUUCCUUUUUUUUUUUUUUGUCUUCUUUGCAUCUCUCUUAAAAAAAAAAACUAAUCUAAUGAGCUGUUUCGGGGCUGCUUGGAGGCCAGGGAUGUGUUCAGUUACGGGGUUUGAAUGCCAGCCUCCCCACUUGUUGGCACUGAUCUGGGCAAUGACCUUACGCUCUGUGAGCCUCAGUUUUCCUGUCUGUGGGCCUGGUUCAUGGUUUUAAAAUGACAAAUAGGAGUUCCCAUUGUGGCUCAGUGGUUAUGAACCUGACUAGUAUCCAUGAGGAUGCGGGUUUGAUCCCUGGCCUCGCUCAGUGGCUUAAGGAUCUGGCGUUGCCAUGAGCUGUGUGUAGGCUGGGGAUGCGGCUGGGAUCCCAUGUUUGCUGUGGCUAUGGCUGGCAGCUGAUUUGAUCCCAAGCCUGGGAAUUUCCAUAUGCUGCAGGUGCGACUCCCCC